UCCGUGACCUGUAUUCUGAGAAGCUUCAGGUCCUCUAAGUUCCCGUUGGUUGACAGGAAUAACCCUGUUGCCUUGUUCCGAAGUCUGAAAUAAAUACGUUUCUAGAAGACAAAACCCAGCAAUGAUCAGAAGGAUGCUGGUGCCCACGCCUGAAGGCUGUGGACUCCUGCACGCCACGGCCUGUGCAUGACCCCGCUCCUGCAUGCCAUGGCCUGUGCGUGACCCAGAGGCCUUCCGCGGGCCCAUGUGUUACCGAGGAAGAAUGUCCUCGACUUUUAAUCCUGGAACUCUAAAGCACCCAAAUGUUUUUUAAACAGCUAUAGUCCCCUCCAACACUUGAUGCAUACAGGCAGACUAUACCUAUUUUUGCAAGUGAAACAAAAAUACUUCCUUAAAAACAUUUAUUACAUUGAUAGUUCUUACUCAUUUUUAUAUCUUCAUUUCACAGUUAUUCAAAGUUGAGAAAAAUCUUCCCAUAUUGACCUUUAAGCAUGCGCAGCAUCUGGUAGUCACUCCUAGUUAAAGGAAAACCCCAGCCCUUAAUCCAAAAUCAAAGGACUUGGUCUUUUAAAGGGAAAAGGAAAACGAGCUCUCUCAUACUUGCUAGAAAGUGCUCAGUAAAUUCAGAGCACUGUUUUGCAAAGUGUUCUCCUAGAAACUUUGAAGUGUUGAAGACCAAGUCCUUACCUGAAGUAAACUAAAAGCCUGGAGGAAUUGAUGAGAGAGUCUUCAUACCUGGCUCUUCCCAGUGGGAAAAGUCCAAUAUGAAGGUGCAUAAUCAUUAACCCUUACAGAAAAUAGGUGGGUUUGUGUCACUUUAAGGUAAUGUAGGAGAAAAAGAAAUAUGAUCAGACUUAUUCUUUAAAAUCAUCUCUUAUUGAAUGAACAAGUAGGUAACUCACAUGCCACCGAUCACCUGAACUGAGCGUAUCUGUGUAUUGAAUCCCAGGGAUUGGAGAUUGACUGCUUCUGCAUUAAGCUCAAUCUUUUUUCCUUUGAAGUCUUCUCUUUC